rnacentral:lncRNA from 1 species
UUUACUUGUAUGGAUCAUUUUUCCAGUUGGACAAAUUUUCGUUAUUUUGACAAGUAGUCAUGAUGAGCUAGUUAAUUCCAGCCUUGAGUGCUGUCAAGUUGGAGAGCUAGUUAAUUCCAGCCUUGAGUGCUGUCAAGUUGGAGGUAUGUGAAUAAUGUGAGGAUUGAUUAGGGAAUCUGGGCUUUCCUUGUAAUAGGCUUGGGUUUUAGAUGAGGUAUCUAAGGUUCUACAGUGAUUUGGAGUGGUAGGGCUUGCAAAAAUAAAGUUGUGCAAAAAUCUGAUGAAUUGAAGAAGGCCAUGGUGCAUGUUUUAUAUUCAGCAACUAAAUAUUGAGAAUGUAGGGCCAGUUUUGAGAGGUUUGAUCAGUGGAGAAAGAGGGAUAAAAAUGGAUACUUUUAGAUGUUGAUUUAGAGUGAUUAACGAAGGAAAAUUGGAGGUUGCCAGUGUGUUGUUAGUUUUUUGUAUCUGGGUAUCAGCUAAAUCUAGAGAAAGAGAAAGAGAAAGAGAAAGAGAGAGAAAGAAAUGUUAAACAAAAUAAGAAAAAAGAUGAACGGGAUCAUACGUGGCACUCAUUCCUUCAAACACAUACAAAAACUGCUUUGGUCUACUUCCCCACAAAGAUAUCAUACUUGGCAGUUGGCAUGCAUGCCUUUGAACGCAAACAAGAGCUGCCUCAGCCUACUUUCCC